rnacentral:tRNA from 1 species
UGCAACGUAGUUUAUUAAAAAAUUUCUAUUUUACACGUAGAAGAAUCCCCUUAGGGACUUUGUUA